GAUGAACGCUGACAGAAUGCUUAACACAUGCAAGUCUUUGGCGAAGCUGUGCUUGCACAGCCUAGCCAAGGCGGACGGGUGAGUAACGCGUAAGGAACUUGCCCUGCAGUCAGGGAUAACAGACGGAAACGACUGAUAAGACCUGGUAAAGUCAGGCGGACUCAUGUCCAGCCUGAUGAAAAGAGAUGCUGCAGGAGAGCCUUGCGUCCUAUUAGCUUGUUGGUGGGGUAACGGCCCACCAAGGCGAUGAUAGGUAGCCGGCCUGAGAGGGUGGACGGCCACAAGGGGACUGAGAUACGGCCCUUACUCCUACGGGAGGCAGCAGUGGGGAAUAUUGGACAAGGGGGGCAACCCUGAUCCAGAAAUUCUGUGUGCACGAUGAAGGUUUUCGGAUUGUAAAGUGCUUUCAGCAGGGAAGAAAAAAAUGACGGUACCUGCAGAAGAAGCGACGGCUAAAUACGUG
rnacentral:rRNA from 1 species